CGACGGCAGCACGGGAGCAAUCCUGGUGGCGAGUGGCGAACGGGUGAGUAAUGUAUCGGAACGUACCUUUCAGUGGGGGAUAACGUAGCGAAAGUUACGCUAAUACCGCAUAUUCUGUGAGCAGGAAAGCAGGGGAUCGCAAGACCUUGCGCUGAUUGAGCGGCCGAUAUCUGAUUAGCUAGUUGGCGGGGUAAAAGCCCACCAAGGCAACGAUCAGUAGCUGGUCUGAGAGGACGACCAGCCACACUGGAACUGAGACACGGUCCAGACUCCUACGGGAGGCAGCAGUGGGGAAUUUUGGACAAUGGGCGCAAGCCUGAUCCAGCAAUGCCGCGUGAGUGAAGAAGGCCUUCGGGUUGUAAAGCUCUUUUGUCAGGGAAGAAACGGUGGGGGCUAAUAUCCUCCGCUAAUGACGGUACCUGAAGAAUAAGCACCGGCUAACUACGUGCCAGCAGCCGCGGUAAUACGUAGGGUGCAAGCGUUAAUCGGAAUUACUGGGCGUAAAGCGCGCGCAGGCGGUUUUGUAAGUCUGUCGUGAAAUCCCCGGGCUCAACCUGGGAAUUGCGAUGGAGACUGCAAGGCUAGAGUUUGGCAGAGGGGGGUAGAAUUCCACGUGUAGCAGUGAAAUGCGUAGAUAUGUGGAGGAACACCGAUGGCGAAGGCAGCCCCCUGGGUCAAAACUGACGCUCAUGCACGAAAGCGUGGGGAGCAAACAGGAUUAGAUACCCUGGUAGUCCACGCCCUAAACGAUGUCUACUAGUUGUCGGGUCUUAAUUGACUUGGU
rnacentral:rRNA from 1 species